GCGCUGACUUCAGCAGCACAGACACUAAAAUAAGAAUGACACAGGGAAGAUUAGCAUGGCUCCUGCCCAAGGGUUCUGUCUUAAAAAAACAAACAAAAACAUCUUAU